rnacentral:misc_RNA from 1 species
AUCAAUGAUUCACACUGUAAAUUAUCUUUUUACAAAAGACUGACAAUCUUCUCUGUUCAGAUGGUUCACCAGCUGAAAAUUGAUAUGCAAGUUAUAGCUUUUGUACAAAGAUAAUUUACAGUGUGAAUCAUUGAUUCCUUUUAAGUUGAAGAUUCAAUCCAUCAAUGAAGCUGGGUAAUGUGUUAAAAACUCAAAAUGUGUUAAAAACUCAAAUCUCACCAUUCUGAUACAAUGUAGGCUACAUCCCAAGAAUGUCAAAACUGCACUGCUAGUAAUCGGUGUUCCGCCGAAAGAAGUAACUGUACUUAGCAAUACUCCACCCAUGGAAACAUUAAAUAACCCAAAUAGUUGAGUAUGGUAGGUGAGAUAACUA